rnacentral:rRNA from 1 species
CCCUUGUACACACCGCCCGUCACACCACGAAAGCCGGCGGUACCAGAAGUCGCUGCGCCAACCGCAAGGGGGCAGGCGCCGAAGGUAUGGUCGGUGAUUGGGGUG